GGGUUUAGCUCAGUGGUAGAGCGUCUGUUUUGCAUGUUGUGAAAGGUCCCGGGUUCGAUCCUCGGCAUAUCCA